UCAUUUGGUCGGAACUCGGAUCAUGUCAAUUCAAUGUUAACUAUGAUUUGUCGGCGAGUUUGACGUAACACGACCAAACUAUGUAGAUCCCCCAUCUGCCUAGGAAUCAACUUCUCUGAUAGUACAUUUAAUAUUAUUA